CGUCGCUCAUCCUUAUGCAUCGCACGCAUGCGGGUUUUUGACGCGACGGAAUGCAAGAGAGCUCCAGGAAUAUCACGUGUUGCUGGCACGAGAACUCGCCGAAUGCUGGAUACCCGAAUCACGAGCGACAUCGAGACGAGAGAACCGCGCUUAAUUCCAGACAGCAGAACGUAACGCGGGCGUCCGUCGCCGGCUUUUCUCAUCCGAGCGAUUUGGAGCGGCGCGGCGCGCAUUCGCCGAGCAGAUAAAUCACGCGCCUCCUCGCGGAGCAGCUUCGCGGCCCGUGUGAUGGAUGGACGGCCGCGGAUAAAUGCAGACCUGUGUCAUCGCAGGACGAUAGGAGGAAGUUCGGCAUUCGUCGACGGGAAACACGAUGAAACAGAAACGCGGGUGGCGCGGGUGGUUGCGCGCCGUUUUCCCGGAGAACUUUAAGAGGGGACCGAGAGAGGAGGAAGGAAGAAAGCUCGUUAAAAGUUUAACUCAUCCCCCGCCCUUCCCCCGCACGCCGAUCUGGCCCGAGACGUCGAGUACCGCUGUGACAGGGUAUCACGUUACAGGAUAAACAAAUGUUCUUAAAUCUUAAAUUUCCCGUUAUAUUUAUUCUCGUUGGAUUUAUGGGGGAAUCAUUUAUAUAUAAAGUAAGAGCCUCAGGCUAUAAAAAAUAAUUGUGUUGUUUGCUCGAUUUUAAAUUGUGCAUUUAAUAGCAUUUAAUACAGCUGUGUUUCGCGUGAUUCACAAAGAGAUUGCAAAAAUUUUUUUUUAAUAUCAGGAAAAAAAAAGAAGUUUAUUUUAAUUUCUUGCUAAUAAAAAUAAUAUCGUUUUAUGUUUAACAUUAACUACUUUCGACCUUAUGCACACUAUGAAAUGAAAAAUCCUUUGUAUAGCGAGCGAAAAGAUAAUACUGUCUGGAAUCUUUUUUUUUCUCAUUUCUCUUUCGCGGGAGACACAUAAUUUUCUCUCCUUGUUAAAACUUGAAUUUUAUCUUCACAACGAUUGCCGCACGUCGAGUUUCAGUGCAAGUUUCCACGUUAUGUGGCAAACAAAUAUUUGUCUUAAAUUCUCCCCCGUUACGUUUAUCCCCCGUGCAUUAUCGGGAGUUCGUGUACGGGGUGUGCCUAAUGCACCGCGUCUAUCGCGGAUAGAGCAGCUCGUUGCGCAGAAUUAUAUUUGCGCCAUAACGCGUGUGCGUUUAAAGUUUCGCAGGUAAACGAGAUCGAUCGGCGAACUUCCGACGGUAACUAUUGUUGAGAAUUUAAUUAAAUCGAUUAUUGCGAAAACAACGCGCAAUUGCAGGGAGAAAGCGGUACGCUUCUGUAAAACGAUACUUAAUUGGUACUCAACGGAUACACGCACGUUCCCGAUGUUUAUUUAAAUGAGAACAGUUUGAAAUAAUAAUAUCAAUCUCCUGUCAAAACACGUAACAGAAUCAUUUGUUCGUACGAGUGUACGUAGCACGGUUUCCCCUCUUGAAACAGACGACGUCUAAUUCAACACUCUUAAGCAUUCGGUUAUUUAUUCGGGUCAUAGGGGCAACUUUCACAUAAAUUUCGCUGUGUCGCACGUGCGCACGUCCUUCGUAUUCCAUGCUUGCGUAAUCAAUAUCAAAGUUUAUCAAAUAGUCAGCAGAUAUACAUCGAAGAAGAAGGAACUUUGUCAUCCGUUUUCCCCGUUUUCCAAGAGCACAGUUUCUUCUUUUUAAUUUUACCCGAGAUUCACUUCUUCGUGCGCAAACACGCUCCGAUAUUUUUAUAUUAAUAUUUUAUUGCCGUCUCCCACUGUCUCGAUGGGUAGCGUAUUACUCUAUUUUAUCGCUAGAAAAGCGCGACGAAAAAUAGACUGCGUUUUCCCAGGAGGAAUAAAAGAUUUAUCGCGGAGAA